UCAGUGUCAGUCCAUGGUUGAUAACAUGAUAACAAAGAGCUGGGGUCAGGAGCGAUCGACUGACCGUCAGAGAUGGAAACCUGAACAUUAAUGAGUUAACAGUCACUGAUGCAGGAACAUACAGAGUUCUGGACUGUGAUGAUGAACUCUUGAUCACAGUGACAGUCACAGGAUCUGGUACAGACUCAAAGGAAAACCACACAGAUGACAAAACUGCUGAUUCUAAACAAGUUUCUGUACUUGAUUGGAUUAUGCUUAUUGGAAUGGGUUUUUCUCUGGUUGUGCUUUGUCUGACUCUGAUUUUAAUUAUGACCAGGAAACACAGAAUAUUUCGCUAUGUAUUUUACAUUCGGUUAUAAUUAUUUCAGACAAGAUAUAAUAUAUUGCAACACACAUUAUUGAUAAUUAUAAGUUUAUAAUGAAUUAUGUAUAAAAAAGGCUUUAAAGGGAUACUCCACCCCAAAAUGAAAAUUGUCAUUAUUCACUUACCCCCCAUGUUGUUCCAAACCCAUAAAAGCUUAGUUUGCCUUCGGAACACAAUUUAAGAUAUUUUGGAUGAAAACCGGGAGGCAUGUGACUGUGGCCAUAGCCUGGCUUUGACAAUUAGUGAGGUCCAGGGGGUUUCUAUAAUAACUUCCUUAUUAUAGAGUUGUGCUAUAAUAACCCCUAUAAAUACAACUAAUUAUA